CAACCUUGAGCAGAGUCUCCAGAUUGGAUCUAUAUAGUUGGUCUCACUGUUGUUCUUCCUUUACUCUUUGUUUUCCUUUUUUUUAGUCAGACUCAACACUGCUCGAUCAUUUGGUCUCACUGCUUGCAACUUCCUUUUUUCAAAUAACUACAUCAAGUACCUGCAGAUCAGUUCAAUUUUGACACACCAUGAUAUUAGCUUGGAAAAUUGAAACGAUAAUGAAUUCAUUUCCCUGAGAAUAUAGUAAUUGAUAGUAACAUCUCUCACGAUAUAUCAACCAGAGUUAUAACUUCCAUCCCAGUGUGUCCACUACUUUGCAGGCUUUCGCCAGCCAACACACACAGUUUCCUGCAUAAAGUCCUGAACAAUAAACAAUUAUUUCAAGAUCGUCAAGCAAAACAGCAAGAAAACACAAUUGUGAUCGAAAAAUAUUACAAACAGUCAAAAGUUGACAUUGCCAAUGCCAAACAAAGGGAGAUCUAAUGGCUCAGAUCUUAAGUUCUCCAUUCACAUAGACGACAAAGUGUUACAAUUAAACUGAUCAGAAGAAAACAAUGACACAAACUAACAUACAGCUGAAAUAUGAUACAUCACUGACCCUUUUUUCUUCAUAUGAUACCCCUAUAAAUCACUCAGGCUUAAAUAGUUGAAUGCAAAUAAGAGAAUCAGAGCCAGAAAAUUUGCCAUUGACUCCAUGGACAGUCAACUGGUAGAGAGCUUACGAUAAUGAUUGUAUAAUCCAGAUUAUAGGUGAUUUUAUCUUGCUUCUUGAACAUUAUAAUAAAGACCUAUUCAUAUCAACACACAUCUUUUUUUUUAACCUCAAAUAUAAUGGACAAUGUUAAAAGCAGUUGUUAAAUAUCUCAAGCUCUUAACCUACAUUAGGUGCUACUGAGCCAAGCUAGGUUUAAAAAUUCCGCUCAUUAGUGUCAUUCAUCAUUGCUUGAUUUUAAAUUUCCAAACUGCCAACUUACUGUAGCAAGUGCUACAUUAAUGACAUUCCCUUUUCUUUCUCUGUACUUGAUAGCCAUUUGUUUGAGGAGGCAAAGGACAGCAAUUGAAAUUUAAAUUCCAGAUCAUUGUCAGUUUGAACAGAUACAUUGAUUAAAAUAAGGAAUCGUGUGCUACAAUUAGAUGCUUUGACAUAAUAGCAUCAUUAGCUACUACAAUCAGUACAAAGCAGAAAUCUAAGAAUAUAACAAAUAAGUAAUAAUAUCAAUAUAAUCGAGGUACCUUCAGGAAGACUACUUGGCUAAUUGGGGUCCACAGAGACUUUGCAGCUCCAAGUUCACACUCUGUUUGAGCUUUCAGAUCCAUCUCAACUUCCUGUAGAAUCAUAUAGAAUAUGACAAGGUUCGUAAUACUGUAUACCAUACCGGUAUUUCGACCUGGGCUCGGUACCGGUACGAUAUGGUAUACCGAGCGGUACACCCUGCAGUGCUACAGUGUACUCGGAUCGGUAACAGGCGGUCCGCGUACCGACAACCAGUCGGACCGGUAUGUACCGCCCAUACCGGGCGGUACAAUUCGGUACUGCAAACCCUGAAAUAUGACACAAAGUGGAACAGAACCAAUUUUUAUUUACUUAAGCAUAAAAAUUUGUUUUUAAACAGCACAGAAACUUUAACAUAAAAGUGUGUUCAUACUUCAUACAAUUAACAAUUUUCAGAUAACAAAUUGCCACCUUUCAGACAGUCUUAGCAAGUCCUUAAUAGAUCUUUAGUCUUAACCCCAUUUAACCAUUUCAACCAACAUAAUUAAAAGAUGCAGAGCUAUAUCUGAAAUAAAUAGGUUUCUAAUAGGGAAAGUCAAAGAACACAUACCUUUGUUAGUUGCAUUUUGUUUCUAGCUGCAUUUGUCCUGGUAUAUCUUCA
rnacentral:lncRNA from 1 species